UACGUAGGCAGCAAACGUUGUUCGGAAUUACUGGGCGUAAAGAGUGUGUAGGCGGUUUCGCAAGUUUGGUGUGAAAUCUCCCGGCUUAACUGGGAGGGUGCGCCGAAAACUGCGAGGCUUGAGUACUGGAGAGGAGAGCGGAAUUCCUGGUGUAGCGGUGAAAUGCGCAGAUAUCAGGAGGAACACCGGUGGCGAAGGCGGGUCUCUGGGCCGAUACUGACGCUGAGGAGCGAAAGCGUGGGGAGCGAACAGG
rnacentral:rRNA from 1 species